GUGACUGCGGAAGGAUCAUUA
rnacentral:rRNA from 2 species